CUGCUCGUAGCUCAGAGGACAGAGCGUGGGGCUUCUACCCCCAGCGGCGAGGGUUCGAAUCCUUCCGGGCAGG
rnacentral:tRNA from 1 species